rnacentral:lncRNA from 1 species
GCAACUGCAAGGCCCAGCCCGCCGCUCCCCACCCCGCCUCCGCGCCGGGCCCAGGGCUUUCCUGCGUCCCCUCCACCGCCGGCUCGCCCCCUGAGGAGGGGGCUGGGCCAGGGCCUCGGCUGACCGGGGAGGAAGAAGGGGAGCAGAGAAAAACAUGAGUCACAGCCGUGUGUCACUGGAGCGCAUUUCAAUUCCCUGCAUCACAGGAGUCCCAACGGAAGGGCCCAGGUCCCCAAGUGGGCCUGCGUAUCUCCAGAACACCAUCUAAGUCACCUCAAGGUAUGAAGCCUCCCUUGGGUGUACCUGCCAACGAGCCAAUCGUUGGUUUCGCUGGAAGGCUCCACCUUGAUCAUGGCUCGCUGGUGGCCAUUAAUAAAACACUUUGGAUUUCACAAGUUUCACGUUUGAAUUUCACAAGACUUGUAUCUCACCAAUCAGCCACACGCGGGUUGACACUGAAAGGCACAUGCUGACACCUGUCCGCCCAGGGGAAAUCUACCAUCUCUCUAUUUUAGUUAGGGGGCGGCGUGUAGGCCGCGGAAUUCUCUAACGAGCGCGUUUCUCUUCACCCCCUGGGCCCGCGUGGACCCCCGUCCACCCCCACACGCCCUGGGGGGGGGGCCGGGCCCACACGCCCUGGAAGCCCCUAGAGGUGACUCUCCCUGGGACCCCUGUACCAGGGAGGAAGGAUACCGCCACCCGUCACCACCCCCCGCCAGAAGCUCCUUCGUGACUCCUCUGCGCGUGCCUUCCCACACCUCCUCCGUCCGGGACUGCGAGGAGUGGGCGGUCGACUCGAG